ACUAACAAGGAAAAAAUAAAUGUGUUAUCACGAAGGAAUGUGAGCUAAACGCACAUAUGGUCUAUUUGCAUGCGUCGCAUAGCACGUAAUAAAUGUACGUUUAGGGGUGAUAGGCUUUUCAAACGUUCCUAUAACUUGUUUCAUAUGAAAAGUAUUAAGUACCUAAACAAAUUUAAAAAGUUAAGCUUUUAAAUAACUAUUAAAGAUAUUAUUCCCUUGUAGUGUAGUUUAAUAGCUAUCUACAUAAUAACUUAAUAUAAAGUAUAAUAGUUUAUAUUUUAUAAUAUGACGUUAACAAUUUUGUUAAUAUUUGAAAAUGUUAGUAUUAGUAAUAUUAGUAUAUGUGCUAAAGGAACUCGGCAAAAAAUCACUCAACUGUUUAUCAAAAACAUAGCUAUAUGAAUUAAUAUAUAGUUAUUUCUGCUCAAUGACUUAAAUAGCCGCAGUACUCUGACUGUGCAAAGGUAGCAUAAUCAGUUGGCUUUUAAUUAGAGUCUGGUAUGAACGAAAAUAUGGGUAGUAACUGUCUUAGCACAUUUUUUCGAACUUAUUAAACAAGUGCAAAUGCUUGUAAUUUAACAAUAGACGAGAAGACCCUAGAAACUUGGACAAGUUUUUGUUGGGGCGACAGAAUUACACUUAACUAAUCUUAUAAUACACGACGCGAUGUUGAAAGAAUAAGUUACUCUAGGGAUAACAGCAUAAUUUCAUUAGUUUGUGACCUCGAUGUUGGACUAGGUACUAUACCCUUAAGGCAAGGAUAUAUUAUGCUCUGUUCGAGCAAAAUUACCUACAU
rnacentral:rRNA from 1 species